UAAGGAAUAUUGGUCAAUGGACGAAAGUCUGAACCAGCCAUGCCGCGUGAAGGAUUAAGGUCCUCUGGAUUGUAAACUUCUUUUAUAUGGGACGAAAAAAGGGCAUUCUUGCUCACUUGACGGUACUAUAUGAAUAAGCACCGGCUAACUCCGUGCCAGCAGCCGCGGUAAUACGGAGGGUGCAAGCGUUAUCCGGAUUCACUGGGUUUAAAGGGUGCGUAGGCGGAUAGGUAAGUCAGUGGUGAAAUCU
rnacentral:rRNA from 1 species